UAGAUUCGCGGCCUAUCAGCUUGUUGGUGAGGUAAUGGCUCACCAAGGCGACGACGGGUAGCCGGCCUGAGAGGGUGACCGGCCACACUGGGACUGAGACACGGCCCAGACUCCUACGGGAGGCAGCAGUGGGGAAUAUUGCACAAUGGGCGAAAGCCUGAUGCAGCGACGCCGCGUGAGGGAUGACGGCCUUCGGGUUGUAAACCUCUUUCAGUAGGGAAGAAGCGAAAGUGACGGUACCUGCAGAAGAAGCGCCGGCUAACUACGUGCCAGCAGCCGCGGUAAUACGUAGGGCGCAAGCGUUAUCCGGAAUUAUUGGGCGUAAAGAGCUCGUAGGCGGUUUGUCGCGUCUGCCGUGAAAGUCCGGGGCUCAACUCCGGAUCUGCGGUGGGUACGGGCAGACUAGAGUG
rnacentral:rRNA from 1 species